AGGCACAGGGAGGGACAUUCUGUUCAAGCUCAGCUAGAAGCAGGGAUGCUAUGGCCACAUGGGCUUGCUUGGGGUGGUCCUUUGUUGGGCUG
rnacentral:miRNA from 1 species